CAAAUCUUUGCAUCUGAUUUUAUAAGACAACACAAGGAAAGCAAUAAUGUGACCUAAAACACAAUCCACUAAGAUUUCCCAUUGCAAGAUUACAAUUUCAAAGAGGACUGCAAACAUAUAUAAUUAGUAAACAACUAUCAUUUAUCUUGUGCUUAGAUUCUUUAGAAAAUAUACUAUAUAGUUGAUGAUACAUUUAGACUGCAUGAUAACAUACAACAGUUCCAAACCGCUGAUUGAGCUGACAAUUGUAAUUAGGAUAUUUCCUACACUUUUCUCAGGCUAAAAUAAAAACAUUUUAAAGGAAACUAUAAAACAAAUCAUAAAAAAAGAAUCGCAUACAACUCUUUACAUUAAACAGUAAAAUAUUACAAAUGAUGAGAUGAAUGUAGAGCAGGCCCACCUGCACCCAGUCUUCAUUUAGAGUUGGGAAUUUCAUUGCUAAACUACAAAUUUACCUUAAACAGAAUUAAACAAAACUCAGUUCACUUUAUGAGCCUGAUUUCUGCUUUUACAAAUAGGUGUAGCCAGAAUGAAAUAUUCAUUUCCUUAAGUUGCUCAAUGAGACAAAUAAAUAGAGAAGAUCAAAGUAAUGAUAGUUUUGUUAUGCUCCAGGAUUACUUGCUUUGGCAAGUCAUACUAAUUUUUGGAACUCAGAACUAAAGGGAACGAUGUUGUUUUUUAAAUAUUUAUGGUUCAACAUAAGUUUAGUAUGGAAACUCAGAAAAUCCAUGCUUACAUCUGUAACUGCUGCAUUUCUCUUUGGUUACUAUGAAAACAAUGCGCUUAAUUGCUGGCUUGUGGCUUCAACAGAAAUAAAAAUGAAGCAAGAAAAUCUUUACUCCAAUUUAAGUUACUUUAAUCUGUUAAUCAUAAAGAGCUCUUGACAUAGACUGAACAGUGUGACUUCAUAAAAGUGUCAGUUGUUCUACUCAGGAGAACAGAUGUUUUGCCCAAGCCCAUGCAUUCUAAUUCCUUUACAUACAGUAGCUCAACUGAAUGUAGCAAGCAGGAAUACCAAACAACACUCCAGCAGACUAGAGAAGGGGGAACCAGUUUGACUGCCAUUGCUGAUAUUUUGAAGACAGUAACUGUGUGACAAGAAGUACCAAAGUACGCUGCCUUGGUUCUGGCCAACCUACACUGAAGACCUAUGUGUUUACACCAAUACCACAUGCCUUUGAAAACUGUGCCUGCUUCCAACUCAUUCAGAUGACAGGAAGCUCUCAGCUCUGUAAGGAAAACCUCUCUCAGGUCUCAGCUGGGGUCCUUAUCUUCUUUACUAUUUUUUUUAAUGAAAUCUUACUGUCUUUAUGUAGACAAACCCAGAAAGAUGGCAAUACAAAACAUUCACUAUCAAAUUAAAUGAAUUACCUACCAAGUAUGUAUGCCUUAAGAAUGGCUGCCAAAAACAAAGCCCUGCUAGAGUCCACGCCAGUUAUGACAGGACUGCUGUCUUAGAAAAAUUGAACCAAUUAUUUUUUAAAUGAGCAGCCUGAUUUUUGCCCAAGUACACAGCACACCUCACUGAAGGAAAUAAUAGAGU